UUUCUGUUCAGCCAAUAUAAUGAAUAGCACAGCAACCUAGUUUGGCUGCUGGCUUCUGCAACAGAACCAAACUACUAGUGUUGCUUUGCAAGUUGCAUACAAGAACAAAUUCUGAAAAGAUGCUACUAGUAGCUAGUCAUACAGCUAGCUACAGCCUUUUGCCACUGUUGUUGCUAACUGCAAACUAAACUCUUCUCCUACACCAUGGCAUGACAUGACAUGACAUGCAUAUAUAAGCUAGCAUUGGUAGGGACUAGGGAAUCUCAAACUGUUCUGCCAAGUUUGCAUCCCUCGGGAGGAGCAUAUAUAAACCAAGCAAAACUAUCAUAAACUGCUCUUGUUGCCAAUGGAUUGAAAGCUAAAUAAAACAUCCACGAUUAAACCAGUACUCACGCACGGAUGAAACAGAGAAAAGAAAAAGGAAAGAAAAGAAAAGGGGAUCGAGAAUUUUUUUUCCCGAAAUGCAAGCCACCGAAGGAGGAGGAGGAGGCAAAGAACAAUGGCUUAGACUUUUGUUUGCUCUACUACCAGAACAAUGGCGUUCCAUGCAAGAAUUCCAACUCCAGCUGUGCUGUCCUGGCUAGCUCAUCAGAUUAAAAUAGACGAUCAAGGGGUGUAGAUGCCGGCGAUGGAUCACUUGGCUAGCUAGCC
rnacentral:lncRNA from 7 species